AGGAGAGACCGAAAGGUGUAUCCGAUGGCCAACAGGUUGAGAUUCCUGUACUAGAGUAUGAAGUGAUGGAGGGACGCAGUAGGCUAACUCGUGCGUACGAAUGGAUGUACGUCUAAGCAGUAAGGCGUGGUAUGAGUCAAAUGCUUAUACCUGUAACGUUGAGCUGUGAUGGGGAGCGAAGUUUAGUAGCGAGUGAGUGAUGUCACACUGCCAAGAAAAGCUUCUAGCGUUGUAUCAUACUCUACCCGUACCGCAAACCGACACAGGUAGUCGAGGCGAGUAGCCUCAGGUGAGCGAGAGAACUCUCGUUAAGGAACUCGGCAAAAUGACCCCGUAACUUCGGGAGAAGGGGUGCUGACUUAAGUCAGCCGCAGUGAAUAGGCCCAAGCAACUGUUUAUCAAAAACACAGCUCUCUGCUAAAUCGUAAGAUGAUGUAUAGGGGGUGACGCCUGCCCGGUGCUGGAAGGUUAAGAGGAGUGCUUAGCGGUAACGCGAAGGUAUGAAUUGAAGCCCCAGUAAACGGCGGCCGUAACUAUAACGGUCCUAAGGUAGCGAAAUUCCUUGUCGGGUAAGUUCCGACCCGCACGAAAGGCGUAAUGAUUUGGGCACUGUCUCAACGAGAGACUCGGUGAAAUUUUAGUACCUGU
rnacentral:rRNA from 1 species